UUGAAGUGAUAGCUCAGGCGGUAGAGCAUGGGACUCUUAAUCUCGGGUUUGUGGGUUUGAGCCCCACAUUGGGUAAA